UACGGGGGGGGCAAGCGUUGUUCGGAAUUACUGGGCGUAAAGGGCUCGUAGGCGGCCAACUAAGUCAGACGUGAAAUCCCCGGGCUCAACCUGGGAACUGCAUUUGUGACUGCACAGCUUGAGUGCGGCAGAGGGGGAUGGAAUUCCGCGUGUAGCAGUGAAAUGCGUAGAUAUGCGGAGGAACACCGAUGGCGAAGGCAAUCCCCUGGGCCUGCACUGACGCUCAUGCACGAAAGCGUGGGGAGCAAACAGG
rnacentral:rRNA from 1 species